GCGGCUCCCGGGCCCCGGCGCCCCGCUCUGCCCAGCCCUGGCCAGACCUCCGUCUACACCCCGCAGCCCAAGUCAGGCCCUGCUGCUCUCUCGUCCCCGCCUGUCCCCUUUGUACACGGUGGACCUGCCACCCAUUCUCAGCCUUUGUCUUCCCCGCUGCAGUGCCGGGCCCCAUGGGGUCCGGAAGGGGUCCCGCGAUCUCCCAGGCAGACCCCAGUGGGAAGUGUAGGCAUUUCUUCUAGUUUCUGGGCCCCAGUGUCUGCUCUUCACAUGGCCAGACCGGUUCCUUUGGCCUUACAGCCUGAGAGUGUAGAGAAUUCAAGAUUGUCAGAGUUGGAAAGACCUUGGAGAUGAUCAACCAGUACCUGCCCACUUAACCCCUUCCACAGAUAGAUGUGAUCACACACAGCCAGGAACCUGGUGCCACCCUGACACAAUUCCAGUCAAAACCAGCUACAUCCUGUAUUUGCCACAAAAGCCCAGCCCCUUCCUCUGGGUGGGCUUGCAGUUUUGAAGACCCUGACCUGCUGCAGCCUCCUCCUCUGGCAAAGCAAUAAAGCUACUAUUUUUCUUUCCCUCAAACUGUGUCUUUACACUAUAUUUUUUGAGUCUGAAGCACAGAGGUCAGCUUUCGACAACAAGAUGAAUGUGUAGGAGAGGAAAGCUUUUUGCCUUUUCUCAAUUCUCUGGCUUGUCUAAUAAUUAAGCUGUCAUAAGACAGAUUCACAAGAGAAAAAAUCGUUUUGGGAACUUCAAAGAUAUGUGGCUCAAAGACAGGUGGUUGAUGCUAACAAACCACUGUGACUUAGAGAAGUGCAUAGGGAUUUAGAAUUUCAAAAAGGAAGUUAU